rnacentral:rRNA from 1 species
CGGAGGAUCCAAGCGUUAUCCGGAUUUAUUGGGUUUAAAGGGUGCGUAGGCGGCUUAUUAAGUCAGGGGUGAAAGACGGUGGCUCAACCAUCGCAGUGCCCUUGAUACUGAUGAGCUUGAAUGGACUAGAGGUAGGCGGAAUGUGACAAGUAGCGGUGAAAUGCAUAGAUAUGUCACAGAACACCGAUUGCGAAGGCAGCUUACUAUGGUCUAAUUGACGCUGAGGCACGAAAGCGUGGGGAUCAAACAGGAUUAGAUACCCUGGUAGUCCACGCCCUAAACGAUGAAUACUCGCUGUUAGCGAUACACAGUUAGCGGCUAAGCGAAAGCGUUAAGUAUUCCACCUGGGGAGUACGCCCGCAAGGGUG